AAUCGUUUAUUGUAUAUAUUACCGGCAGAUUAUAUCUAUAAUUACUAAGCAUUUUUAGCAAGCAGAAUAGAGAUUUGUGACACUUUGAGUAUCCUUUACCUUUGGGGAAGAUGUUAUUCACAAAAUGGCUACAAAAAUGGUUUGAAAUCCGUCCAAUGCAUACCUGGAGUGCUCAAUUAGCUACUUCAACAUAAGCGGUUGCCAUUUGGGUUUGCUAAGAUAAUGGACAAGAAUUUACAUGAUCUAAGGAUUUACUCAAGGCCACCCUCAACCCAACCCAACUGUCAAAACAGGAUUAGAGAAGAAGCGUGCAGAAUUUUUAUGGACGAUGUAGUUCUUGGAAGUCUUCAAGGAAAAUAAGAGAUUAACAUCAGAAAGAACAUAAUGGUACUUUAUGACUCAAAGCAUAAUGGUACAGCAGUAUGAUGCUGUAUAUAGUCACGGAAACAGAUAUGAUUUUUCUAGAUUGCAGAGAUGGGCCAUCAUUCUGCCAGGGACGCAUUUCCAGAACUACCACUGCUUGAUAAAAAUAAAACCGAGUCUCGAAGAAUGACUUACUGCAAAAUGACAAAAAAAGACUAUGCUUUUGACGAAAGUGAUCGCUUAUACCAGGAGAGGAUGGAGAAAACAUUGUAAGCAACGUAGCUAAGUUGAAAUAUGGUGACUUAAUCGGACUAUUAGAAGGAAUAUUUAUGUAUGUAAGAAAAACAAAAGAAAGGAAAACAUGAAACAAUGGAAAAAUACUCAACCGAUGUGGCUGCAGUAAAAUUAUUAAUGUAAUUAUCGAAACAAGUCAGAAAGGUGAGUUCACCUGCUUGGAUUAUUGGCGCCAUUAAAGAGCUGGUUUAGAGCUCCACAAUUAAUUAAAAAGAAUAUAUGGAAAAAUAGGCGCAGAACGUGAAUUGCGCGAUUUAAUAACCUAGGCACCUCAAGUGCUUUAAUUUGAGAAUUAUAACAAGAAAAUCAGAUCAAUGGAUAAUCAUGGAAUGGAUCAUGUAAUGGAAGACAGUUUAAUAUCUUUAUUGAGCUAUCAAUAAUCACUGUAAGAAAGAUUGCUAAAAGGUACAAUUUCAAAAUUUGGGAU